CCCAAAAAAGGCUUCGUUUAUGUCUGAUGUGUUCUUUUCUUUUAGGCCAUGAUUGUUCAAGGUUAUUUAGGGCAAGGAGGAAUUGUUUCAGGCUUGGAUACGGAGGCUUCGUGAGCAUGGCUGUUUUGAAGUUGGCAUACUUUGGACUAAGUGAAUGGGGCAAUCGUAAAACUUUGUCCUCAUUUGCAAAUGGUUUCCAAUAGUUGCUAAGUUGUCGGAAAUCCCUUUUGAGUUUUCGGAGAAAUUCUUCUAGCCCUGAAGACUCUUUCUUCAGUCAAGUUUCUUGUUUUUUUUUUUUUUUUUUUUUUUUUUUUUUUUUUUUUUUUUUUUUUUUUUUUUUUUUUUUUUUUUUUUUUUUUUUUUUUUUUUUUUUUUUUUUUUUUUUUUUUUUUUUUUUUUUUUUUUUUUUUUUUUUUUUUUUUUUUUUUUUUUUGUUGCGACGGGAAACAUUUGCUCUUUAAUGGUGAACCAAACUUCAUUUGCAGCUUCUCAUCCAACAACUAAGGCCAGCGUAUCUUCCAUCAUCAUCUCCCUCAGCCAUGUUUUCAGCAAAUACGUCAUUGUUAAGCCAUGUUGUAAACUCGGGAUUGGCAGUUUCUUUUUCUCCUUCUUUGAUAGUCAUGUGAUGUUCUAAUUAGUUAUGUGAUAUUCUAAGCUGAUGCUUUGGAUCAUCAGCAGCACUUGAGACCUCCACAAGAGAUAAUUCUUAGAUGAAACUUGAUGAUAUUAAGCUUGAGCAUUGAUGAAAGGUUUGGAGAGUAAGUUUGGUUUCUUUUCGCGAGGAUUGAGCUGUUGAGGCCAUAAGGCUCAGAUACCAUGAAAGAAACAAUGUUAUUGUAAAUAAAAGUUGUAUUUCACUUAUUGUACUAAAUACAAGAGUAUGUACGAUAUUUACACAAAAAUAC
rnacentral:lncRNA from 1 species